UGAAGAGGAACUAAAGAUAGGCUUAUACAGAACACGGGUCUGGUCAAACAGCUGUCUCUAUUUGCAGAAACUCUGAAUUUAGGGGAUGUUUUGUAAUUCACAUUGACGGUGUAGUUGGGAGUUAACAAAAUUUAAUUCAAGAGCACAAGGAAAGGGAAGAUGGCAUUUAAUCUCUGUCACUCAGGUUUCCUGAUUUCACCUAGUGCUAUUCUCAAACCACUUGCUUGUGAGCUCCGAGAUGGGAAUUCAGCCUGGCUGAAGAGCCAUAUGGGAGACAAAGAAUGCUGACUACUGAGCAAUUGCCUCGCCACCUGCAGCCUUUCCGCCUGCUGGGACAGCAGGAAGUGUUCUGCCACGUGCUGCAAUCUCACCACCGUCCUCCUGUUAUCAGAGCUCAGGUCUCCUGCUGACAAGUCACCAAGCUGUAGCCCUAUUGGAGCUCAAGCCUGCUGCUCUUGAUGCAGACAGCACAUUCCUCAGCAUUUACCAGUUUGAUUGCUGUUAUCAAUACAUGCUUCAACCCUUG
rnacentral:lncRNA from 1 species